UUGGAGGGCAAGUCUGGUGCCAGCAGCCGCGGUAAUUCCAGCUCCAAUAGCGUAUAUUAAAGUUGUUGCAGUUAAAAAGCUCGUAGUUGAAUUUCGGGAUCAAUAUGUUGGUCGUGCCUUUGGUACGUACUAGCUUAUUGAUUUCUCCCUUCUGACGAACCAUGAUGUCAUUAAUUUGGUGUCAUGGGAAAUCAGGACUGUUACUUUGAAAAAAUUAGAGUGUUUAAAGCAGGCUUACGCUUGAAUACAUUAGCAUGGAAUAAUGAAAUAGGACGUUUUGAUUCUAUUUUGUUGGUUUCUAGGAUCGACGUAAUGAUUAAUAGGGAUAGUUGGGGGCAUUAGUAUUCAAUUGUCAGAGGUGAAAUUCUUGGAUUUAUUGAAGACUAACUACUGCGAAAGCAUUUGCCAAGGAUGUUUUCAUUAAUCAAGAACGAAAGUUAGGGGAUCGAAGACGAUCAGAUACCGUCGUAGUCUUAACCAUAAACUAUGCCGACUAGGGAUCGGAUGAUGUUAAUUUUUUAAUGACUCAUUCGGCGCCUUACGGGAAACCAAAGUGUUUGGGUUC
rnacentral:rRNA from 1 species